AAGUAUUUAAUGUAAGAUUGAACAUAUUAAAUUUUGAGUUUAAAAAUAAAUAUAAAUUUAAUACUUC
rnacentral:tRNA from 1 species